GCAUUGGUAGUUCAGUGGUAGAAUUCUCUCCUUCCACGUGGGAGACCCAGGUUCAAUUUCUGCCCAAUGCA